GCCAGAAUGCACCCUACUUGAGACGCCGCAGACUCGCGACCCGGAGCAGCUCGGAGCCGGUGAAUAAUAGCUCUUCAAGUCUGCAAUAAAAAAUGGCCUCCAAUAAAACUACAUUGCAAAAAAUGGGAAAGAAGCAGAAUGGAAAGAGUAAAAAGGUUGAAGAGGCAGAGCCUGAAGAAUUUGUGGUGGAAAAAGUUCUGGAUCGACGAGUAGUAAAUGGGAAGGUGGAGUAUUUCCUGAAGGGGAAGGGAUUUACAGAUGCUGAUAAUACUUGGGAACCUGAAGAAAAUUUAGAUUGUCCAGAGUUAAUUGAAGCAUUUCUUAAUUCUCAAAAAGCUGGUAAAGAAAAGGAUGGUACAAAAAGAAAAUCUUUAUCUGACAGUGAAUCAGAUGAUAGCAAAUCAAAGAAGAAAAGAGAUGCUGCUGACAAACCAAGAGGCUUUGCCAGAGGUCUUGAUCCUGAAAGAAUAAUUGGUGCCACAGACAGCAGUGGAGAAUGAAUGUUUCUUAUGAAGUGGAAAGAUUCAGAUGAGGCAGAUUUGGUGCUGGCAAAAGAAGCAAACAUGAAGUGUCCUCAAAUUGUUAUUGCUUUUUAUGAAGAGAGACUAACUUGGCAUUCUUGUCCAGAAGAUGAAGCUCAAUAAUUGUUUGCAUUGCUUUUUAUAUAUAUUUAUAUAUAUAAAAAAAUCUGGGUCUUGAGAGUGUGAAGAAAUAACUACAUUCUAACAAAUCAAGUUUGAUAUGUUCAUUUUGAAAGUAGUACUGGGAGAGUCAUUGGGGGGGCUUGCAUCAAUAGCACUGGUUACUUUGAACAAAUAAAAGCUUUCUCUAGUUGCUUCCUUUAUCAGAAAAAAAAAAAAAACACUUGACACCAUGGUAUAUUAUUUCUUCUGCAUUAGAAAACAGCUUUUCUAAAUACUAAGGGAAAUUUCCAUAGCCAUUAUUCAGUAAGAACUUGUGUUUAACUCUUUGCCUAAGGACCAUUCUGGGUUUUUUUUUUUUUUUAAUUUGUUUCUGUAUGUGUAUACGCGACAUUCAUAUGUAAAUGAUUUUCUUUGUUUUUAAACAUUCACCAAAACAAAAAUCACAGGUAAGCCCAGGUGUCUGCAAUACCAUCAUUCUGAGCGAUGUAAUAAUAGAAAAUUUUCCUGAAGCCAUAAUGUUUCAAAUUAGUUGAUUCUUAAUUCGACAAAUGGAUUAAAUGGAUAAUUUAAAAACAGCCAUGUCAGAAUCUGUAUGUAUAGUCAUAUAAAUGCAAAAUUGUGUUUACAAAAUUUCUAAAAGGAAAAGCUUAUCAUAACCAAUAACCUACAUGAGGAAACUAGACAAAUCCUGGUGUGUUCUAAUGAGGUAAAUGAAUAAGACUUAGUUAAAUGGUCAUUAAAGAUUCUUGUGGUAAUCCAUUCCUACACUUGGCUUACAGAAACCUAAUCAGAUGGUUGAACCAUGUUGGCAGCUUCAUACCUUUUUACAUAAAUGUGUGAACAAACUCUGUAAUCUAAAACUACUGACGUGCAUGUUUUUUCCUUACCGCAACUCAUUCCUUACAUGUAGACUCAAACUUUUCAGUAUUUGGGUUACUGGUUGAGCAGAAGCCAUAAAAAAAGUCAUAAUCAGAAUGUUAUCUAAUUGUAUAUUGUUUACUUUUAUUGUAAAUAAUAGUGAACAGUGGUCAAUAAAUAGUUUUAUAUUCCUUUAAAAAAAAAAAAAA